CCCUAGUAACGGCGAGUGAAGCGGGAACAGCUCAAAUUUGAAAUCUGGCCCUUGGGUCCGAGUUGUAAUUUGCAGAGGAUGCUUUUGGUGCGGUGCCUUCCGAGUUCCCUGGAACGGGACGCCUUAGAGGGUGAGAGCCCCGUACGGUUGGCCACCAAGCCUGUGUAAAGCUCCUUCGACGAGUCGAGUAGUUUGGGAAUGCUGCUCAAAAUGGGAGGUAUAUUUCUUCUAAAGCUAAAUACUGGCCAGAGACCGAUAGCGCACAAGUAGAGUGAUCGAAAGAUGAAAAGCACUUUGAAAAGAGGGUUAAAUAGCACGUGAAAUUGUUGAAAGGGAAGGAUUUAUGACCAGACUUUUUCUGGGGGGAUCAUCCGGUGUUCUCACCGGUGCACUUCCCCCAGUUGAGGCCAGCAUCGGUUUCUGUCGGGGGAUAAAAGCUUCAGGAAUGUGGCUCCUUCGGGAGUGUUAUAGCCUGUUGCAUAAUACCCUGACGGGGACCGAGGUUCGCGCAUUGCAAGGAUGCUGGCGUAAUGGUUAUUAAUCACCCGUCUUGAAACACGGACCAAGGAGUCGAACAUUUGUGCGAGUGUUUGGGUGUUAAACCCUCACGCGUAAUGAAAGUGAACGGAGGUGAGAGCCUUUCGGGGUGCAUCAUCGACCGAUCCUGAUGUCUUCGGAUGGAUUUGAGUAAGAGCAUAACUGUUCGGACCCGAAAGAUGGUGAACUAUGCGUGGAUAGGGUGAAGCCAGAGGAAACUCUGGUGGAGGCUCGCAGCGGUUCUGACGUGCAAAUCGAUCGUCAAAUCUGCGCAUGGGGGCGAAAGACUAAUCGAACCAU
rnacentral:rRNA from 1 species